rnacentral:rRNA from 1 species
AACGAACGCUGGCGGCGUGCUUAACACAUGCAAGUCGAACGGAAAGGCCCCUUUCUUGGUACUCUAGCGGCGAACGGGGGAGUAACACGUGAGUAACCUGCCCCUGACUUCAGGAUAACGUUAGGAAACUGGGGCUAAUACCGGAUCCGAAUCCUUUCUUCAUGGUGGGGGUUCGAAAGCUUCGGCGGGUUUGGCUGGACUGGCUGCUUAGCUGCUUGUUGGUGGGGUAGUGGCUUACCAAGGCGUGUUCGGGUAGCCGGACUGAGGGGGCGACCGGCGAUACUGAGACUGAGGGAAGGCCCAGACUCGUACGGGUGGGAGAAGGGGGGAAGAUUGCCCGAGCGGCGGAAGGCUGAUGAAGCAGCGCCGCGUGCGGGAUAACGGUGUUAGUGUGGUAGACCGAUUGCAGAAGGAGCGAAGCUUGUGGUGACGGUACCUGAAGAAGAAGCACCGGCUAACUACGUG